UUGACACCUUGGGCGACUUGAAGGUUUGGGCGAGAGUGGAAUAACAGCUCUGGGCGACCGUAUGACACCCCAUUCGUUUAGAUUCUGGGCGACUCGCAAACUUGGGCGAUGGCGUCACCGCAUUCUUGGGCCCCUUAUUUGGGCCUUCACCCUGAUUCGUUUGAUUGGAUUUCGUUCUUUGGGCUAUCCGAUUUGGGGAUCCUUCAAUUGGGCUUUAUUCCUUGGGCUGUUCGAUUUGGGCUGAAUUUUUAUGUGUCAACAAUUACCCCCCAAUAUGGCAGAAUUAAUAAUAAUUAUUGAAUUUUGCCAUAUUCACUUCAUGUUUCCAGCGACGUUCGAAGUUCCCAAGAAUUUCAAUCAUUGUUUCCUUCUAUAACUUGAAGAAGUGCGUCGUUUUGCAAACCCUUAUAAACCCCAAACACGUCAUUUUACUGCUACCAAACCACGCCUCAUAUUUUC
rnacentral:lncRNA from 1 species